CAGCCGCCGCGGGAAUACAGAGGGUGCGAGCGUUAAUCGGAUUUACUGGGCGUAAAGCGUGCGUAGGCGGCUUUUUAAGUCGGAUGUGAAAUCCCUGAGAUUAACUUAGGAAUUGCAUUCGAUACUGGGAAGCUAGAGUAUGGGAGAGGAUGGUAGAAUUCCAGGUGUAGCGGUGAAAUGCGUAGAGAUCUGGAGGAAUACCGAUGGCGAAGGCAGCCAUCUGGCCUAAUACUGACGCUGAGGUACGAAAGCAUGGGGAGCAAACAGGAUUAGAGACCCCAGUAGUCCCUGUCUCUUAUAC
rnacentral:rRNA from 1 species